UUGUCCAGCCUGCAGCGACAGCCGCGCUUCAACAUGCGUGGAGCGGACUCCGACAAGAUUGGGGGGCGGUCCCCGCAUCCGGGGUGACCCGGUAGGUUGUGGGGGCCUCAGCAGGCCCCGCUUUAGACCCUCAAGGAAAAGCGGCGUCUGUGCUCAGUUAAGACCCCUGGUGAUUGCUCCAGGGACUGAUAAGGCCACUGCUUCUCUCUCCUGACCACUGACUCGAAGAACAGUAACACAGUGAAGGCCAGCCAGCACUUCUACUUGAAGCCUGCCAACAUCUCAAACAGUGUGACAUCACCAGACAAUUGGUGCUCUGUGCUUUUGGAAUAAAUAAAUGAAUGGAUUAUGUAAGGAAACAGAUGAGCUAAAAGCUUCCAUUCAAUCAAUGAUCACGUUCUCUUUACCUGCCCAGGAAAAGUCAGUCCAAUGGGGAACAACAUCAAAUACAUGAUUUGUAAACUUUCUUAAUUUUGAGAGAAUCAAUAUAACAUACUACACAGAACUUACAAGUCAAACAGACCUGCUUUGAAUCCUGACAUCUUCAAUUACAAGUUUUGUGAACUUGCUAAUUUAGCUAAUCUAUUUCUGCUAUAUUUUCCUUAAAUUUAAAAUUAGAAUAGUUAUUUUCAUAGAGUGCAAUAAAAAUCACAGAUUAAAGUCAUAUAAAACU